ensembl:lncRNA
CAAAAAACAAUGUUUUCGUUCCAACCCUGAUCCUAACUGCCAUUGGUAAUAAAAAAAAGUGACUGUGUACAGUAUGUGUUCACAGAUGCAUCUAUGGAGCCAACACUUGGAGACUUGCAAGAUGAUCUGCUGGAAUCCUGACUGACAGACAGGCUUGAUACUGACGUCUCUGAAUGGAGAGAGACCUGGCACUCGACACAUCCACAAUGUUGGAUUGAAAGUGAUUAUUACAGCCAGCUCACCCGUGAUUACAAGUCAGUAUUCGACUCAAUGUCUGAGGACGUCGGGAGAUGACGUGGAAACCAGCCACAAGGGGCAACAGUUUGAAUACAGCGAUAAAAAGUGGAAAGUGGAAUUUUACCCUGAGAGAAUCUGGGCUUUUUUCAUCAUGCCUGAGGCAUUUCUAUGACAUAAUUGCCCAGGUGGAAAGCAGGUCAGGGCUUUGUGCACUGAAUGAUGCACCCUAUGACGGCUUCCAGUGUAUUGAUGGGGAUUCAUUACUAAAUAUACAAGCAUACCCUUUUUUGGGGGGGGGGGGUACUUCAUGCUCUGGCCCCCGUCUCUCCCCCAGGCGGGCUUUUUUGAAAAGGAGGAGGACACGAACAAUAAUUAUUUGGGCAAAACUGAAAAAACUGUCCAGAAGCAAUGGCUUCAAGUGAUUCCUCCCCCACUACAGCUCUGUUGCUAGGCCAUCUGAGGUGAAGAGCAUGACCUGAAUCCGAAGCCUGAUUGGUUAUGAGAGAGGCUAAGGUGAGUCCCACUGAACAACACAGACUACUACUGGGAGAUGGGAUUCCCUACUGUGCCACACACACACUGUAAAGAAGAAUAAUCACUCACCAUGGAAACACAGAACUUUGAGCAAUAACACAACUGGACUAUAUUGGCCUGGGAAGGCUAACAGAGGGUCUAAUGGCACCAAUUACCUGCACUGGUUUUCAGGCCCAAAUUAGACUUGAAAGGUACGGGUAGGAAGUUUGUGUGUGUGAUGGUCACCAUUAGGGCCUAAGAGUUGGGCUAAUUGGUUAAAAUGGUGUCC